ensembl:misc_RNA Metazoa_SRP Metazoan signal recognition particle RNA
ACCAGACAUGGUGGUGUGUGCCUAUACUCCCAGCUGGUCUGAAUGCUGAGGCAGGAGGAUCACUUGAGUUCAAGAGUUCUGGGCUGUAAUUCACUACGCUAAUUUUGUGUCCGCACUAGCUUCAGCAUCAAUAUGGUAACCUCCAAGGAGCAGAGGACCACCAGAUUGCCUAAGGAGGGGUAAACCAACCCAGGUCAGAAACAGCAGGUCACAACUCCGUGCUGCUCAGUAAUGGGCAACAUAAUGAGAUCCCAUCUCUUAAACAAAUAAUAAUAAUAAAGCAUGCCUCUC